CCAUUCAAGAAAAGAACAUGUAAUCCAAGAAAAAUGUCCAUAUAAUGCAAGAAUGUUACUGUCAAUGGCAGUUUUAUCAUUUUCUUUGAACAAUUCUAAAAGAUUUAGAGCAAGUCCAAGUAUAUCAGGGUGAGAGGGCGAAUUCUAAAGACAACUGUUUAUUGGAUGAGUUUGAGCUUUCUGGCAUACCAAUGGCGUCCAGGUGUAUACCACGUAUCAACACUUGCCUCGACAUUGAUGAUAGUGGGGCAUUUGUUGUAAAUCCAUUAUAUAUAAUCGAUUCUCUCCUCAUAAAGUUGAUUUUAUCACUUGUCAUAUGGUAUCAGCUAUUCAUCCGUUUUCCCCUUUCUAAAUCUAUUCGUCUCUUUCUUCUUCCUGGGAUCUCACCAUGACAGUCUCCUCUUCUUCUUCUCAAGAUAACCCUUUCUCCAUUGCACCUGAUGACAAUCAAGCUUUCCUCCAGUAAUUACUUGUUAUGGCGGAAUCAUCUUCUUCCCAUCUUUACUUAUCAGAAGCUAUUAGGGCAUCUCGAUGGUUCUUCUCCUGCUCCAUCGACCACCAUUACUGUUGAAGAAAAAUCUCUUCCCAAUCCAGACUAUCUAGUAUGUGCUGAAGCUGAUCAACGAGCUAUUAUUCUCUUGCAAUCUUCUCUGACAGAAAAAGCUGCAGUUGAAGUUCUUGGUCUCACCACCGCUCGCAACAUCUGGCUCCCUCUUGAAGCUUCUUACAGUAAUGCCUCUAUUGAACACGUGCAUUCUCUGCGUGACUCCCUUCGACAACUCACGAAAGGUACAUCUUAUGUUUCUGAUUAUUGUCGUCGAUUCAAGGCAAUAUGUGACCAACUCUCCGCAAUUGGUCACCCGGUUGUUGAAAUUGAUAAGUUGUAUUGAUUUCUUUGUGGUUUGGGUCCUUCUUAUGAAACUUUCUCCACGGCAAUAAGGGCUACCAACCCUGCCCCUUUGUUUCGCAAUUUAGCUGUACAAGCAGAAAGUCACGAGUUGUUCUUAUAGUCUCUUCACGGUACCCCUUCUCCUCCUGCUACUUUUCAGGCUCAGAAUACUCACACUAAUUUUGCUUAGGGUAGGGGUAGUUCCUUCAAUUAUCGAGGGUCCAACUCUCGUGGCAGGGGAUGAGGUCAAGGUUAAAGACCACACUCAUUCCUAAUUGUGCAGAACUAAUGGUCAUUAUGUGUCUUCUUGUCCGCAAUUUCAUACCUAUGCUACUCAAGCUCCCUCUUUGGAUGAGAACUUAGCAAAGGCCUUCCAUACACAAUGUCAUGUUACUACCAACACUCCCGAUUGGCAUGUUGAUUCGGGAGCGACAUAUCACAUGACUCCAACCUGUGACUCACUUAAUUAAUCGACAUCAUAUCAGGUAACAAUCAAGUUGUUUAUGACAACGGUAAGAAACUUUGGUUCACACAUACGGGUUCAUCGACUAUUUGUGUAACACCCGAUUCCUAGUAUGUAUUUUAAAUCAAUUUAUUCAUUUUUAAAGGGACUCGAUGAGUUGGAAGUCACAAACUCAUCGAGUAGGAAUAGAAUUUGACACGGGACUUGAAUACUACUCGACGAGUUGAGAGUCUCAACUUGGCGAGUAGGGCUGCCAGAGUGAAACCCUAAUUUCAGGGUUUUGCACCCUAUUUAAACACCUUAACCUCCAAAUGUUGGCCUCAUUUGCAGCCUCCAUCACCCUAAACCCUAAUCUACUCUUGAGUGUUUUUGAGCCAUUUUUGUGUGUUCUUUGUGAAGUUAAAGAAGAGGACCAUUGAAGAAAGAGCAAGGACCUAAAGGAGAAGAGUAGAUCCAUAAGUUAAGCUCCAUUUCUGGUUUAAUAGAGACCUAUGUUAUUUUUAUCUCCAUCGGCAUCCCUGCUCCGACUGCUCUGCUAUGCUCCGACAUGUUUGAUCAAGGUUUCUGAAAAGUGAAAUUCGCGAUUUACUUACAUCAUUGUGGAUAAUUAAACGUUUUGAAGGUUCUUUUAUCUUUUCCUUUAACAUAUUCUACUAACCCAACGUCCAAGCUAUCAAAUCAACCAUACCUUUCUGAAUCUUCCAUGUCAUUGGUAUCGGUUCUUGUUUAGGUAUCAUGGGGAUGUUGGAGAUAGGCUAUCACCUACCCAAUUAAGUGCUUUGGAUGGGCAAGAAAUACUAUCACCUACUUGUGGAGCUUAUCAUACUACUACAUUUUCAGAGUCAAGUCUGAAUGUAUACAGCUGGGGAUCGGGUGAUUUUGGAAGACUAGGCCAUGGGCAGAGGUACAAAUGGACAACUAUGCCACAAAGAAGCUUCUGACAUGUAAAUAUCAGAAAAUAUGAAAAUAGUUUUAUUAAUUCUUUUACAUAAGUUAUUGUUCCGUUAUCUUUCGCUUGCUAUUAUUUUCUCCUCUUCUAUUCUACCAAACAUUAGGCCCUAAUAAGAAUGUAAAGCUGUUACAUCUUAAACAAUACUCAUGUUUCUAAUUGAUCUAAAAAACAUUUGUAGUCAA